GGCGAGAGCGCCGAGGGCAGAGCCGGCACCAUCAUGAACGCCAACGCGGAGCUCUGGAAUGGCCGUUUCGCCAUGCUCGGACUCGUCGCUCUGGCGGCCACGGAGAUCAUCACGGGCGCCCCCUUCAUCAACGUGUAGAAUAAACUAGCUUUCUUGCCGACACGAUAACACGACUUGUACUUAUCUAGUAGGACAUCUGGACAUGUAAAUGAUGAUAACUGAUCAUCCUCUUAUUGUAGUACGUAUGUAGUAUUGCUAAUUAAAGACGGGUAUCUUUCUUUUUUCUCACUCGAAACAUGUUGACAUGAUCAUCUUUCUAAAACAUUAAGACAUCUCGAUUCCUUUGAAUAUUUAUCACAAGAAACCUGUUAAGACAUGCAGUUUCACAAUUCGGGCAUGAAAAUUCUACAUUAAGGCAAAGAUGCACGUGGAGGGGAACAAAUAUGGAACCUGGGUGAGGGUGCACCUUUUUUCAAAAAUAGAAAAAGUAACUUAAUAAUGAUCAAAAACCGUGAAAUUUUUGGCAACCAACCUAAUGAAGUGUUACACUCGCAUAAAUAAUUUCGGGGCGAAAUGACUUUCUUGAUCACUACAAGAAAAUCUAUCUAUAGAGAAAUCAAAUUCCAUAGCUAGAACGUGUUAUUUCAUCCCUACGAUACCAUAAAGUCGAUUUAGUAAAGCGCCUGUUAGAAUAAUUGGAGACAGUCCGUUAAUCUAUCGAGGACCAAACAAUCACACGAGCACGACACCAAGAUUUGUUAGUGAGGUUCACCAAUAUGGCUACAUCCCCGGGACAUGACUAUGGAUGCUCUUUUUCGUGACACCGUCACAAUACCACACCCCGUCCGUAGGUGUGUAGACAAGGUAGGAGUACACACCGUACAGGUGUCCUUAGAGGACACGACUCCUAUCUUGUCUACACACCGUACGACUUCAAGUCCAACUGUAAUCUAUCUUGUACAAUAAUAUUCGACACAACUCUAACAACGUCUUUGUAGCGUCUUCUCACCGACCAUCCAAAAACAUUUAGACACGCUAGCGAAGCGUGUGUACAUAGCGUGAGACGCUAUAUUGAGACGUUCAAAAACGUCCAUAGAUAAAUAGAGGCGUUAUGUUAGCGUAUCACGUCUCUACUCACUUAAUGACGUUUUGUUCAUCAUGGACCCAAUGCUUAUAUACAACAUGUUAAGACCUUAUAUUCGUCUCUAUAUGUACAUAAUCUUUUUUGUUAACUAUAAAAUAGCUUGUUUUUAAAUAUUGUAUUUGAUUUAUUCUUAUUUUUAUUUCAAUAUUUCAAAUCGAAUUACUUUAUAAUGCCAAAUGAAUGUGUAAAAUGACCAAAAUAUUAUACAAAUGAACCCACCCAUAUCACCAAUUGCGUACGCAAUCAACAAAUAUCAUUAUAUAAAGAGAUCCGCCCAUAUCACCAAUUGCAUUCAAAAGCUUCCAUUCACACAAUUAAGAUAAUUAUUAACAAAUCCAGUGCAUUAGUUAGUAGGAACAAACACCUUGAGUUCACAACUGAAUUAAAUCAGACAUUCAUAUGAAAGAUGCAAAUAAUUAAGAAACAUCCUGAAACUUAGAACUAAGUUUUCGUAUGAAGCUGAAAAACGAUCCAUAAUAUUUGUUCACUUGAAGACUAGUUCUUCUGUACUUGCUGUCUUGCUCUUAGCUCCUGCAGUGCAUUCCUUUUCCUAAAUCUUUGGAUAACCUCAAAAAGAUAGAUAACAUAGAAAUGUUUAGAACAAAAGCUUUAAAACUAGUGUAAGAAAAAAUGUUUUUUGAUGAAAUAAUAAGAGAUGCACCAUAAAAAUAUUUUGGGGCUUGUUUUGAGGCUUUGUUGGAGCGGCUGGGAUUGAUUUUUUGCCCUAAAAAUCAUAAAGAUUCUUCAUGAAUAAUAAAACUUAGGCAUGGACAUUGGAGAAUAUUCCAUGGUUGUAUGGAAGUGUACUUACAUGUGAUAGGGCAUGCAAUAACAUGACCAAUAGCAUCCCUUCACUAGUAGAAAACAUGGAUUUGGUCCACGCAUAGAGCUUUAAUCCCGGUUCUAUUAUGAACCGGGACCAAUGGGUGCAUCAGUCCCGGUUCGUGAGGCCAUGGCGCCGGCCGGGCCAUGGUUCCGGUUCGUCUGCCCCCUUUGGUCCCGGUUUCAGACACGAACCGGGACCUAUUGUGACAGCCCGAUGCCGACGUUCCAGAAGAUUCCCCUCUCUUUUCGUUUUCGUCGUGUGUCUAUUUUAUUUGCCACAUCAUCAUCGCAUCAUGCGCAUCAUCUGCAUUGCAUCGGCAUCUCCGUUGCCGCCCGUUUUCAAAACUUGCAUCCAUUAGUAGUUGCCGGUUCUCGUCGUUGCCCGUUCUGAGCCCGACCGCACACGCACGCGCCCGCGGUACCGUCGAAACCCUGUUUUUAAAGUGCGUUUAAAACUUUCUCUGAUCGGGUUGAGAUUUGAUGUGCGGUCGUGUUUAGUUAUAGCGAGACCGCCUGUCGAAUGUCGUCGCGAUCGGAGACCGUCUGGUACCCGAACGGUCAACCGUAGCGGCAUCGUAUUCGGGCUACCGUCGGACGUGUGUCAGUGUUUUAAAUCGCGUUGCCGCGCCGCCCGUUCUCCCUCUCGCCUCCGCCUAGCCACUCUACACAGCCCACCUAACCAUUCCGCGUCUGUGGCCGUCCGAUUGCGGUGACGUGGUCGAAAACUAAUCCGAAUUCGGAUAACCCUAGCCCGUUUUCUAUAAAUAGGCACCAAACCCUAGGUCUUCCUCGUUUUCCGCGCCCCUCAAACCCUAGCCGCGCCCUCUCUCUCCUCCCUCCAGCCCAGCCGUCGGGGGCCCGCCCGAGCCCGCAGCCGGCCCGCCCCGGGCCCGGAUUCGCGCCGCCGCCUCUCACCCCUGUCCCGUGCCACGCCCCGUGGUGCCGCGCGUCGCCGGCGAUCCCGAGCGCCUCCUGCCCGCAGCGUCGUGCCGGCCCCGUCCCCUCCGGCGCCGCCGCCUGCCCCGUGCCUCUCCACCGCCAUGCCGCCGCCUCGGCUCCCCGAGCUGCUGCCCGAGGAGCCGCCACCGCCAGCUCUUCCUCCUGCCGCCAUGGGUCCCGCUCCGCCGACGCCAGUCGCCGCUGCAUCACCUACUGCCGGAUCUGCGCUCCCCGCCGCCGGAUCCCAUCGCGCCACCCCGCUUUGACCUCGAUCCGGCCGGGGCCGAGCUCCCCUUGCCGCCGGAGACCGCCGCCGCCAUGUCCUGUCCUCGUGCCCUCGGGCACGGGAGGGGACGAGCACGUCGCUCGCCCCGUGGGCCUCCUCCGCCCCAGCCCAGCAGGCCAGCCUCCCUGGCCCGAGUCGGCCGACUCCUGCGCCUGGCCUCGGGGCCCAACCAGCCUAGCCAGGCUACUCCUCCGAGCAGGCCGAAAGUCCCGACAGUGAGACGCCAAGCCCUUCUGUUUUUCGCCCCGUGCGCCGUGUUGCUAUGUUACGCCCACCAGAUUCGGCCCGUUAGAAUUUAGGAGUUUUCGAUUUAGUUUUAUUUCAGGAAUUAGACGAAUAUAGUUUCGCCCGUAACUUUUAAUCCGUAUGUCGGAUCGCGAAGACUUUUAUAUGCUUUUCUUGUAGUUUCUCGAGUAGAACCCGUUUAUAAGACUUGCAUGUUUUUUGACGUAGUUUAACGUGUCAUAUAUAUAGAUUAGCGUGCUGUCCCAAUAGAAUAGCGUCCGUUAUAAUUUUUUGCGCAAGUCUGGAUUGCUCGGAUGCCAUGAUAGAAAUGCUCGUGUUUUAGGGAUCAUUUUUGCAUGUAUUUUAGAGGGGUCAAUUGUAUUUUUAUGUGUAGGGAUUUGCCUCUAGUUUAUUUUCCCGUAUAUAGGUUAUUCUCCCGCUUGAUUGUGUGGCAUCAUAUUGUGUUGCAAACCCCAUAUAUUUUAUAUGUUUCCGGGGUAGAAAAAUCCCAUGGAUUUUUCUGUUCAAUUAGUUUUAGUUUUUGAGGAAGUUAGUUCGCGAGAUAUUUUGCUAAGUUGCCCUUUUGUUUAAUUCGUAGGAUUUAUUCCGUGCCUCGUUUGAGUUAGUUGUCAACUAGGAAGUUGUUCUUGGGUGUUUUGUCUAGCCUCUGGUAUUUUUGGUUACAAUAGAAAUGCAUGUUUAGGUGUGAUUUGCUUGCUCUCAAGUUGCUAGAAAUAGUGUUGUUUUAGAGGAGCUGAAAUAUUUCUAAGUCUGGAAUCUGUUAUUAUUUUGUUGCCGUCUUGUCUUGCUUGUAGCUUGUGCUCUAUAGCUCUUUUGAGGUUGGUCCAAUGGAGUUAGUUGUUUCCCUUGUGUUUCUCUAGCAUGCUGUUAAUUUUCAUGCUAGUUGGAGACCUGUAGCUUAGGAUUUUGCUGCUGUCAAUAUGCCUUCAGGCUGAAAAUUGCAAUUUCAUGAGGUGUAAUUUUCACUAAGUCUGAAAUAGUGUGUGAGAUGCCAUUUUGUGUCUUCUUUUACUAGUGAUCCAUGAUGCAAUGAUAGUUGUUGUUAGUUGUUUGUAGUAGUGCGUCUUGCCCUCUUUCAUGACAUGCCUUGAUUGAGUUUAUCGGAGUUGUGUAGCCGAAGUUGUGAGGCGUAGAAAAUGUUAUGUGGCUGAUUUUGGCAGAUUGUAGCGUUUUCUUGUUUUGCUCGUAGUUUUCGAACCGUAGCUCCGUUUUGAUCGUGUCCUACAUGAAACUUGCUUAGAAUCUCGUGUAGUUUCAUUUUCUCUUGCUGUUAGAAUGUUUUGAAGUGUUCGUAACCGCCGUUGCACACAUUUUGCAUUCAUGCCAUCAUAUCUGGCGGUGCUUGUAUCUUUUGAACCGUUGCUCCGUUGGAGAUGUUCUUUACGUGUAGGUUGCUUGCCUUGACGCGUAGAAUCACGUGAACCUAUUGGUUUUGCUGUUUAGCAACUAAUUAAAGGUGUUAAUUCAGAUCUGGAUAGAAUUGUAAAUUAACAUGUGAGGUCGUUUUGGAGGUGCUAUAUGUCAUUUCCGACCUCAUUUAAAAUGCCUAGAUAGGUAGUUUAAUUUCUGCUUCACCUCUUGCAUGUUUGACAACAUUAUUAUUGCCGUGUAGAUAACCGGGAGUGAACUAAAUAAUUAACGUGGAGUUUCGUCAAUAUGCAACUCGUGCAUAUUGAACUUCACUUAAUGUGUAGUGUUUCAUUGUGUGAUUUGUCAUGCCGUGACUUGCAUGUAUUCAGUAGCUCAUGCAUCAUAUGUGUAGUGCAUCGUGUGGUGAAUUUCGUGUGUUGAUUUGUGUUUCCGGUUUGCUUCGUCUCGAUAGAGUUCCGCAACGUGCCGGAUUGUGAGGACCCGUUCGACUACGUCGGUUCGUCUGCUUCACGGAGGCAUUCUUCUUCCAAGCAGGAUCUCAAGCAAGAUGAUCAUUUCCGCAGAUACCAUUACUAUCAUUGCCAUGCUAGUUUUAUCGCUUCUAUCGAUUAUGUCUCGUUGCCUACAACCUGUUAAAUAUUAGCCUCUCAACAAUGCCACGAUUGCCUUCAACCUGUUCAACCUAGCAAACCACUGAUUGGCUAUGUUACUACUUGCUUAACCCUGUUGAUAGCGUUGCUAGUUGCAGGUGCAGAUGCUUCCAUGCAAAAGCAUGGGUUCCUUGUUAUAUCACCAUAUUAAAUGCUAUUUAAUUUAAUGCACCUAUAUACUUGGUAAAAGGUGGAAGGCUCGGCCUUUCUAGCCUGGUGUUUUGUUCCACCUUUGCCCCCUUAGUUUCGGCUACCGGUGUUAUGUUCCAUAAAUGAGCGCUCCUAACACGAUCGGGGUUGUUAUGGGGACCCCCUUGAUAAUUCGUUUUAGAUUAAAGCUGGUCUGGCAAGGCCCAACUUUGGUACUACAUUUGCCUAAACACCUAAUAAAAUUGCAUAGGGACUUUCCGGACCCCGAGGAUAAUUUAAUCAACCCCGGGCCAGUGCUCCUCAUGAGUGUUGGCCCCACCUGAGCGAUGUCCGGCGCCCCUCUGGUCACCCGGAGGUUUAGCGAUCCCGACGUCUAGCUCAUCUGUCGUGUCCUAAGAACGAGGUACGCGACUCCUAUCGGGAUCGUCGACACGUCGGGCGGCCUUGCUGGAUUAGUUUUACCUUUGACGAGAUAUCUUGUGCAUCGGGAUUUCGGUGAUGCUUUGGGUAAUCUCAGAGUUGAGGUUUUCCACUAGGGAAUCCGACGAGAUCGCGAGCUUCGUGAUUGAGGAUUUCUAUGCGGCUUAUGGUAAUUUGUGAUGGACUAGUUGGAGCACCCCUGCAGGGUUAAAUCUUUCGGAAAGCCGUGCUCGCGGUUAUGUGGCAACGUGGAUACUUUGUUUAACACUGGUUCUAGAUAACUUGAAGUUAACUUAAUUAAAACAUGCCAACUGUGUGCGUAACCGUGACUGUUUCUUUCGUGAGUUCUUUCUCCGAUCGAGGACACGGUGGGGUUAUGUCUGACGUAGGUAGGUGUUCAGGAUCAUUCAUUUGAUCAUCAGUAGUUCACGUCCGUUAUGCGUAGAUCUUCCCCCUCUUAUUUCUUGUACUCGUAAGCUAGCCACCAUACAUAUAUUGUUAGCCGCUGCUCAACCUCACCACUUAACCAUACCUCACCCAUUAAGCUUUGCUAGUCUCGAUACCUUUGGAAAUGAGAUUGCUGAGUCCCAUGUGGCUCACAGAUUACUACAACACCAGUUGCAGGUACAGGUAAAGGUUACGUGACGCGAGCACGUUGAUUGUUCAUUUGGAGUUGCUUCUUCUUCUUCUUCUUCAUUGAUCUAGGAUGGGUUCCAGGCCGGCAGCCUGGGAUAGCAAGGAUGGACGUCGUUCUUCUUUUGUCGUUUGUUUUCGUCCGUAGUCGGACCCUGCUCUUACUCUUGAUGAUUAUGUUAUGUGCUGAUGUGACUCUGAUGUAGCUUGUGGCGAGUGUAAGCCAAUUCUUUAUAUAUCUCAUCUUUUCAAGACAUGUACUUGUAACGAUAUCCAUUCUUGCGACACGACGAGAUGCGCUUCUAUCCCUAACGAGGCCUUCGUGCCAAAUUGAGGAUAGGGUCGCAUCUUGGGCGUGACAAGUUGGUAUCAGAGCAAGGACCGACCUAGGAGCCCCCUUGAUCGAUCGAACUUGGCCGAGUUGAGUCUAGUGAAAAACUAUUUGAGUCUUAGUUAUAUAUCGGAGAGUAGGAUUCUUUGUUCUCCUCUUGUAUGCUCUGGUGAGGAAUCGUGACGUAAUAAUUUACUCUACUCCUCUUCUCACUCAAAAAAAAAUUAGGAUCACGCGGAUAUUGUUGGAAUCUAUAUGAUGCCGAUGUGACGGAGUUCUGUCUUGGUGCCUCCUGUCUGACUUGAUUUUCUUCCGGGGAGUUGAGCUCCAGGGGAUUCUUGAGCACAUCGUUAUCAUUCAGAUUUCUUAGUAUCUCAGAACGAAGGAUGUUCGUAAUUGCUUCAAUACGAGUAGUGGCGAGAUAACCCCGAUGUCCCCAGUACUGGUGCAGAUUGUUCGGGAGUACUGCCAUACUUUGUAUCGUUGUGAUCACGAGGGUCUAUUGUAGAUGAAGGUCCGAGAUUCUGGUCGUGUGUUGACGGAUGAGAUACAAGUGACAGUUUAGUAUAGGAGUUGUGUGAUAUUACUCCUUGUAUCCGUGUACCAGAUUGCAUGACCAGAUAUUUCGGGAAUUCAUAGGUGGGAAUUCAAGUAGUUGCUUAUAGGACAAUCUUCCAACAAAUGCAUGAUGUUAGGUUGGGGUUCGACAUCUAGUGGAUUCGUUUGUUCACGGUCGACUUACAGCAGUACACGUUGCGUCUUAAAGAGUCCUUGUAGCUUGCUACGACUCGGGGACGCUUCGUAUGUCGGGUGCACUAUCUUGCACUUGAUGGCUACUGUAAAUCGUGCCCGUGCGAUCCUGUCCACAAAAUAUCGGACGAAAUCUUUCUCAUGAGUUUUUUCUGGCUUGUUUCGUAAGCCACACCCUUUGUUUUGUUGAACUAUGGUAAUUCAAGUUGCUUCGAUGUCAAGUGGUGAUUUCAGAUCUUUCCUAAUCUGUGUUCUCAUAUUUUUAUGGGAAUGCAAAUUCUUUGGUCAGUCAGAUCGUCGUAUCAAUUCCAUUCAACCGGUGUGUUUCUCUCCAAGUGGAUUCAAUCCUCUCCAAUUUUUGCAAGAUCGUUCUCUUUUCAUCCGGAGUUCGUCUCUUCUGUCUCAAGUAGUCUUGUUUUUCCCCGCCGUCCCGCCCUUUUUCUUCGGUGAUUGGAUUUCAUCCAAGCGCAUUCAUUUCAUUGUGCUUCCGCUAUCUCUUCUUCCUUUCGUAGCCGGUGAUUCAUCGUGAAGAUUCUCAGGAGCUUCAUGUUCAUCUUUAUUCAUUCUUGUCAUCUUUUCCGGUGAAUUCAAUUUAGUUCUCCGUGUCAUCAUAUCCAUUCAUCCCUGUAAUUCUUUCCUAUGUUGGAGAUUCGUUUCAGCCUAUUUUUUUUUAUUAUUCAGUUAUCGCUAUUCCACCCGGAGCGUUGGAUAUACCUCAGACUUUCUUGUUCAGGUCUUUCAUUAUUUCAAGGUUCUCAACCUCAUCUAGUUUUCUUAUUCCGGUGCAAUAUCUCUCGUUCUAGCUAUUGUUUCAAUGGUGAUUUUCUUUGAGUGGACCCAUAACCCACAGGUUCUUCCCAGGAUCCUACCUGGCUCUUUAAUCUUUUCCGGAGGUCCUUAACUCUUUUCAACUAUGACGUAAGUAUGAUUUUCAUCAGUCAUAUUCCUUCUUCAAGAUCAAUUUGGGUUAAUUCUCUUAUUUGGCUCAACCGGGCAUCCUUCUUUAUUCCGGAGCAUCUCAUUAAUUCUUGGUGGCGUUCUCCUCAUCAUUCUAAGCUUGCAAUUCGAAGGAGUGUUUCUCUCAGUCUUGUUCCAUUCUUGUGAAGACUAUCACCGCAGCUUCGUGUAUCCUCUCAUUUGUUCCAAACAUGAGUGAUUCAUUUCUGGCUAUCCGGUGCAUUUCUGAGUUGUUUUCAUUCUCGAUCCUCCGAAGGCCAUCAUCCAGAAGAUUCUUCGUUCUCAGCUUUCAGCCUUCGUCCUAAAUUCUUCUCAAUUGUUGUCUCUUCGUUCGUCUCUCGAGAUCCGGUGCCUUGUUCAAGUUUCUCUCAGGUGGCUCAUGAUCUCUUCAUUCUCAUGUAUCUCCAUUGAUUCAUGGUGUUUCCAUUCAAUUGUGAAUUCUUACCGGUGCUUCCUUCAAUUAGGCCUCAAGUGGUGCUUAUCUCUCUAUCUCUUCAAGAUUCUUUCAAGAGGAAUAAGUUGUAUGCUAAAUCCUUGCUAGUCAUCAAUUAUACUUGAUGAAGGAUUAGCAUAACAUAAUUCUUAUUCUUGUUCUUCCUUCUUCCAAGAUAUUUCAAUUCUUCUUCCGGAGUGGCUCAUGAUAUCAAUUCCUUUUUAUCAAGUGUUAUUAUCUUUUCUUUUCCGGACUUCCAAGUUUUCUGAAGUGUCUCAUCGUGAAGCUUCAUCGAACUCUUCACAAGGCUUCAGUCUUAUUCUUUUCUACCUUCAUAUUUUUGCAUCAUUCAUUUGUAUACGGUGGUCCUUCACGGUGGUUCUUCAAGAUUUCAUUCUUUCUUAAGUGGUCUUCAAGACUCUUGUUGGAGUACCUCAACUAUCCUUUCUCUUGCAUUUCCAAGUGCAUUUGUUCUUCCUUUAUCCUUUGAGGUGGUAUUAUAGCCUUCUUGUUAGUGUAGGAGCCUUAGAGAGUUUUCCUUUCAAUGAUGAGAUAAUUAAACCCACCGAUUCUAUGGUGUUGAGAUAUUUUCAACCCAUGAUUUCUUCAUUGAGCUAUCUUGGUUUGGAUUUCACCUAAAGCUUUUCCUAUGGAUUGUGCUAUCAUGGUGCUUGUCUUUAAUCCAAGUUCUCGAUGUAUCCUCUUGGCGUAAGAUUGUUCACGUCUUGUUUCUCCCAAUCAAUCCUUGUUUCUUUAGUGGUUGGUUGUCACCUCACAUGUGUUGAGAAGGUUUUCAUAAGCCCACUACUGUCUUGUUCUUUUCGUUGUUGUUUUUCCAACAACUUCGUUCAAUUCUUCUUGCAAGGAUGCUUGUCAAGUUCAUUAGAGUUGAUAGUUGUCAUUCUUUUCUUCAUUCUCUCCUUCCGCUUGAGCUAGUUCCUAUUCUCUUGUUCCGGAGGCAUGGUGAUGUUGCUCUUUGGGGUCUAUCGUCUUGUUCUGUCAAGAUCACGGUGUUCCCUUGCUCUAUUUAGUUGUUUGUUAUGAUUAUUGUCUAUUUCUUCUACCGUUUCGAUUUUUCUGUCCAUUUUUCCUAUCGAAGUGCUGCCGAAAUUUUCCGUGAAUUCUUGCUUCCUUCUCAUAUCAGUCCUCAUCUCUUUGCAACCUUCAACGAUUGUUGUUUUCACUCGUUGUCAAGGAAGCGACUAAGUUUUUACCACUUGUUCUUUCGCACCCCCUUCCCCUUUCAUUCUUGGAUCUCGGGGCGAGAUCCUCUUGUAGUGUAGGAGUGUUGUGACAGCCCGAUGCCGACGUUCCAGAAGAUUCCCCUCUCUUUUCGUUUUCGUCGUGUGUCUAUUUUAUUUGCCACAUCAUCAUCGCAUCAUGCGCAUCAUCUGCAUUGCAUCGGCGUUUCCGUUGCCGCCCGUUUUCAAAACUUGCAUCCGUUAGUAGUUGCCGGUUCUCGCCUGCCCGUUCUGAGCCCGACCGCACACGCACGCGCCCGCGGUACCGUCGAAACCCUGUUUUUAAAGUGCGUUUAAAACUUUCUCUGAUCGGGUUGAGAUUUGACGUGCGGUCGUGUUUAGUUAUAGCGAGACCGCCUGUCGAAUGUCGUCGCGAUCGGAGACCGUCUGGUACCCGAACGGUCGACUAUAGCGGCAUCGUAUUCGGGCUACCGUCGGACGUGUGUCAGUGUUUUAAAUCGCGUUGCCGCGCCGCCCGUUCUCCCACUCGCCUCCGCCUAGCCACUCUACACAGCCCACCUAACCAUUCCGCGUCUGUGGCCAUCCGAUUGCGGUCACGUGGUCGAAAACUAAUCCGAAUUCGGAUAACCCUAGCCCGUUUUCUAUAAAUAGGCACCAAACCCUAGGUCUUCCUCGUUUUCCGCGCUCCUCAAACCCUAGUCGCGCCCUCUCUCUCCUCCCUCCAGCCCAGCCGUCGGGGGCCCGCCCCGGGCCCGGAUUCGCGCCGCCGCCUCUCACCCCUGUCCCGUGCGACGCCCCGUGGUGCCGCGCGCCGCCGGCGAUCACGAGCGCCUCCUGCCCGCAGCGUCGUGCCGGCCCCGUCCCCGUCCGGCGCCGCCGCCUGCCCCGUGCCUCUCCCCCGCCAUGCCGCCGCCUCGCCACCCCGAGCUGCUGCCCGAGGAGCCGCCGCCGCCAGCUCUUCCUCCUGCCGCCAUGGGUCCCGCUCCGCCGACGCCAGCCGCCGCUGCAUCACCUACUGCCGGAUCUGCGCUCCCCGCCGCCGGAUCCCACCGCGCCACCCCGCUUUGGCCUCGAUCCGGCCGGGGCCGAGCUCCCCUUGCCGCCGGAGACCGCCUCCGCCAUGUCCUGUUCUCGUGCCCUCGGGCACGGGAGGGGACGAGCACGUCGCUCGCCCCGUGGGCCUCCUCCGCCCCAGCCCAGCAGGCCAGCCUCCCUGGCCCGAGUCGGCCGACUUCUGCGCCUGGCCUCGGGGCCCGACCGGCCUAGCCGGGCUACUCCUCCGAGCAGGCCGAAAGGCCCAACAGUGAGACGCCAAGCCCUUCUGUUUUUCGCCCCGUGCGCCGUGUUGCUAUGUUACGCCCACCAGAUUCGGCCGUUAGAAUUUAGGAGUUUUCGAUUUAGUUUUAUUUCAGGAAUUAGACGAAUAUAGUUUCGCCCGUAAAUUUUAAUCCGUAUGUCGGAUCGCGAAGAUUUUUAUAUGCUUUUCUUGUAGUUUCUCGAGUAGAACCCGUUUAUAAGACUUGCAUGUUUUUUUGACGUAGUUUAACGUGUCAUAUAUAUAGAUUAGCGUGCUGUCCCAAUAGAAUAGCGCCCGUUAUAAUUUUUUGCGCAAGUCCGGAUUGCUCGGAUGCCAUGAUAGAAAUGCUCGUGUUUUAGGGAUCAUUUUUGCAUGUAUUUUAGAGGGGUCAAUUGUAUUUUUACGUGUAGGGAGAGGGGUCAAUUGUAUUUUUAUGUGUAGGGAUUUGCCUCUAGUUUAUUUUCCCGUAUAUAGGUUAUUCUCCCGCUUUAUUGUGUGGCAUCAUAUUGUGUUGCAAACCCCACAUAUUUUAUAAGUUUCCGGGGUAGAAAAAUCCCAUGGAAUUUUCUGUGCAAUUAGUUUUAGUUUUUGAGGAAGUUAGUUCGCGAGAUAUUUUGCUAAGUUGCCCUUUUGUUUAAUUCGUAGGAUUUAUUACGUGCCUCGUUUGAGUUAGUUGUCAACUAGGAAGUUGUUCUUGGGUGUUUUGUCUAGCCUCUGGUAUUUUUGGUUACAAUAGAAAUGCAUGUUUAGUUGUGAUUUGCUUGCUCUCAAGUUGCUAGAAAUAGUGCUGUUUUAGAGGAGCUGAAAUAUUUCUAAGUCUGUAAUCCGUUAUUAUUUUGUUGCUGUCUUGUCUUGCUUGUAGCUUGUGCUCUAUAGCUCUUUUGAGGUUGGUCCAAUGGAGUUAGUUGUUUCCCUUGUGUUUCUAUAGCAUGCUGUUAAUUUUCAUGCCAUUUGGAGACCUGUAGCUUAGGAUUUUGCUGCUGUCAAUAUGCCUUCAGGCUGAAAAUUGCACUUUCAUGAGGUGUAAUUUUCACUAAGUCUGAAAUAGUGUGUGAGAUGCCAUUUUGUGUCUUCUUUUCCUAGUGAUCCAUAAUGCCAUGAUAGUUGUUGUUAGUUAUUUGUAGUAGUGAGUCUUGCCCUCUUUCAUGCCAUGCCUUGCUUGAGUUUAUCGGAGUUCUGUAGCCGAAGUUGUGAGGCGUAGAAAAUGCUAUGUGGCUGAUUUUGGCAGAUUGUAGCGUUUUCUUGUUUUAUUCGUAGUUUUCGAACCGUAGCUCCGUUUUGAUCGUGUCCUACAUGAAACUUGCUUAGAAUCUCGUGUAGUUUCAUUUUCUCUUGCUGUUCGAAUGUUUUGAAGUGUUCGUAGCCGCCGUUGCACACAUUUUGCAUUCAUGCCAUCAUAUCUGGCGGUGCUUGUAUCUUUUGAACCGUAGCUCCGUUGGAGAUGUUCUUUACGUGUAGGUUGCUUGCCUUGACGCGUAGAAUCACGUGAACCUAUUGGUUUUUCUGUUUAACAACUAAUUAAAGGUGUUAACUCAGAUCUGGACAGAAUUAUAAAUUAACAUGUGAGGUCGUUUUGGAGGUGCUAUAUGUCACUUCCGACCUCAUUUAAAAUGCCUAGAUAGGUAGUUUAAUUUCCGCUUCACCUCUUGCAUGUUUGACAACAUUAUUAUUGCCGUGUAGAUAACCGGGAGUGAACUAAAUAAUUAACGUGGAGUUUCGUCAAUAUGCAACUCGUGCAUAUUGAACUUCACUUAAUGUGUAGUGUUUGAUUGUGUGAUUUGUCAUGCCGUGACUUGCAUGUAUUCAGUAGCUCAUGCAUCAUAUGUGUAGUGCAUCGUGUGGUGAAUUUCUUGUGUUGAUUUGUGUUUCCGGUUUGCUUCGUUUCGAUAGAGUUCCGCAACGUGCCGGAAUGUGAGGACCCGUUCGACUACGUCCGUUCGUCUGCUUCACGGAGGCAUUCUUCUUCCAAGCAGGAUCUCAGGAAAGAUGAUCAUUUUCCCAGAUACCAUUAUUAUCAUUGCCAUGCUAGUUUUAUCGCUUCUAUCGAUUAUGUCUCCUUGCCUACCACCUCUUAAAUAUUAGCCUCUCAACAAUGACACGAUUACCUUCAACCUGUUCAACCUAGCAAACCACUGAUUGGCUAUGUUACUGCUUGCUUAACCCUGUUGAUAGCGUUGCAGUUGCAGGUGCAGAUGCUUCCAUGCAAAAGCAUGGGUUCCUUGUUAUAUCAUCAUAUUAAAUGCUAUUUAAUUUAAUGCACCUAUAUACUUGGUAAAAGGUGGAAGGCUCGGCCUUUCUAGCCUGGUGUUUUGUUCCACCUUUGCCCCCUUAGUUUCGGCUACCGGUGUUAUGUUCCAUAAAUGAGCGCUCCUAACACGGUCGGGGUUGUUAUGGGGACCCCCUUGAUAAUUCGUUUUAGAUUAAAGCUGGUCUGGCAAGGCCCAACUUUGGUACUACAUUUGCCUAAACACCUAAUAAAAUUGCAUAGGGACUUUCCGGACCCCGAGGAUAAUUUAAUCAACCCCCGGGCCAGUGCUCCUCAUGAGUGUUGGCCCCACCUGAGCGAUGUCCUGCGCCCCUCUGGUCACCCGGAGGGUUAGCGAUCCCGACGUCUAGCUCAUCCGUCGUGUCCUGAGGACGAGGUACGCGACUCCUAUCGGGCUCGUCGACACGUCGGGCGGCCUUGCUGGAUUAGUUUUACCUUUGACGAGAUAUCUUGUGCAUCGGGAUUCCGGUGAUGCUUUGGGUAAUCUCAGAGUUGUGGUUUUCCACUAGGGAAUCCGACGAGAUCGCGAGCUUCGUGAUUGAGGAUUUCUAUGCGGCUUGUGGUAAUUUGUGAUGGACUAGUUGGAGAACCCCUGCAGGGUUAAAUCUUUCGGAAAGCCGUGCCCGCGGUUAUGUGGCAACGUGGAUACUUUGUUUAACACUGGUUCAGAUAACUUGAAGUUAACUUAAUUAAAACAUGCCAACUGUGUGCGUAACCGUGACUGUCUCUUUCGUGAGUUCUUUCUCCGAUCGAGGACACGGUGGGGUUAUGUCUGACGUAGGUAGGUGUUCAGGAUCAUUCAUUUGAUCAUUAGUAGUCCACGUCCGUUAUGCGUAGAUCUUCCCCCUCUUAUUUCUUGUACUCGUAAGCUAGCCACCAUACAUAUAUGCUUAACCGCUGCUGCAACCUCACCACUUAAACAUACCUCACCCAUUAAGCUUUGCUAGUCUCGAUACCUUUGGAAAUGAGAUUGCUGAGUCCCCUGUGGCUCACAGAUUACUACAACACCAGUUGCAGGUACAGGUAAAGGUUACGUGACGCGAGCGCGUUGAUUGUUCAUUUGGAGUUGCUUCUUCUUCUUCUUCUUCUUCAUCGAUCUAGGAUGGGUUCCAGGCCGGCAGCCUGGGAUAGCAAGGAUGGACGUCGUUCUUCUUUUGUCGUUUGUUUUUGUCCGUAGUCGGACCCUGCUCUUACUCUUGAUGAUUAUGUUAUGUACUGAUGUGACUCUGAUGUAGCUUGUGGCGAGUGUAAGCCAAUUCUUUAUAUAUCUCAUCUUUUCAGUACAUGUACUUGUAACGAUAUCCAUUCUUGCGACACGACGAGAUGCGCUUCUAUCCCUGACGAGGCCUUCGUGCCAAAUUGAGGAUAGGGUCGCAUCUUGGACGUGACACCUAUGGUCCUCGCUCCUGGCGCAACACCUUAGUCCCGGUUGAUGGCUGGAACCGGGACUAAAGGUCAGUAUUCUGUCCUGGUUCUGGCCACCAACGGACCAAAGAGAUGCCUAUACAUACCCUCGCCCCUGCCCAUCUUCACCCUCUCCUUUGUUUAUUGACCGUGUGGGAGGUGUGCAUGCCCUGCUCUGUUCACCGUUCUAUGCAUGAACAUGAGGUGUUCGAUGAAAUGAGACGUAUGAGCUAUGGACUCAACUAUGACCAAUGUAAUCUCAACAUCUUCGUGUAACUAUGUUUAACUUCUUACUUAUCUCAUGUAAAAGAUCUGAUAAGGAUAUCGAUCGACCUCUUUCAUGUACGCCACGAUAAGGACUUCAAAUGAUCUUUUUUAUGAUGAUUUCGCCAAAAUACCUAAAAAACUCCAAUAUUUGAGCAAUCAGGGAAAAAAAUAUUUUUUAUAAUUAGGAUUUUUUUCAUUAUGCCGCAAAUAAUUAGAAAAUAGCUCGAACAGAAUGCCAGAUAUGGAGUUAAACAUCUCCAAACACCAGCAAAACGUGUCGUCUUUGUAUACUCGUCAUAGUAUUUAUAUGGCUAUUCCGUCAGGUGUUUGAUAGUGCUGAUUAUUGACAUGGUUGCUAUUCCUUUUCACAGGCACGCGCGAGGUCGGACCAUCAGUCGGCCGCACGUGUAAUCAAUGUUGCCGUAAUACAUGGUUGAUCCUUCUUUAGUCCUGAACAGUCAGGCCAGUUGCACUGAACUAGCCUAUGUAUCGUGCACUCAACUGAUAAACUGCUAUAAAAAAUUUGAGGCCCUAAAAAUAAGAGGUCCUGUGCGGCCGGCACUAUUGCACAUGUGGUUGGUCCGGCCGUGACCACUAUUGAGCCAUUGUAAAGAGAAAUAAUAAUUUUCAUAAUUUUUUGAAUAACUAUACUGGUAGUCUAGUACCACACAUAGGUCAGAUCAACGUAUGCAUGUGGCAUGAUAGUUGUGUGAGUACUCAUGCUUUCCUGCUUGCGAGGCUCCGAAGUGCUUUUGAUUAGGUAAACGUUUUCAGCCGGAGCGUCGGCUGGAACAUCCCGCCGGACUCGCUAGGUCUGUUCGAUCUACAAUGAUUGAAACACGCCCGCAGCGUCAUGUGGACUGUUUUUUUUCACCUGCCACCGAUUUGCUUCGAAUCGGUCAUUUGCAUCUCAUCCACACCAUUUUCGAACGACAGGGGCGACUGGGAGGGGUACAGGGCCGACGGCUGCUGCGGCGAUAGGGCCGCCGGAUCCGGCGACAGCGCCCGCGACGGCGGCGGCGGGCACGUUCUCCAACUACCUAUUCUUCCUCUCGUCUCUGUCAGAUCUAUUCUUCGUUCCCGUCAGAUCCAUGGUGGACGAAAAAGUUACAUCCGGCUACACGGGAGCUUCAACCGGCAGACGGGAGGAGCUUCAAUCAGAAUGGCGACGGCGGGCGGGUGAUCCCAUGGCCGGUAGGUGAGAUUGUUGCACGAGGAUCUGCAGGGAUGAUGUCGCGAAUGCUACAACCACGUAUCACAAAAGCUGCAAGCAUCCAAAAAAAAUCUACAACCGUUGAUAAGAAAAGUUACAACCACGUCCGUGAGAGUUGCAACCAAACUUCGCUGGAGUUUGUAGCCGGAGUUGCAACCAUGAUGAAAAAAUAUUGCAACCAUUAUACAAAUUUGCUACAUCAGUCAUUUUGUUUUGUUGCAACCAUAUUUUUGUGCUACAAUCGUUGGCAUGACGAGAUGCAACCAUGAUGGGAAAUUGCUACAACCAUUAUAUAUUUUGUUACAUCCUCUUUCUGUUUUGUUGCAACCGUAUAGUUUUGUUGCUUCCACCGACAAUUUUUUUUUCUUCACGUGAGGCAAAAUGCUACUACCACUAUACAAAUUUGCUACAUUUGCCAUUCUGUUUUGUUGCAACCGUAUUCUGCCAACAGAGCUCAUCUCAGAGCUUGAGCCCAAAUCCAUGGCAGCAAGUAGUUGGUUCUGGAUGUAAACAUGGUUGAAGCAAACCCUAGGUCCCGUGAUAGAUGGGGAAGACCCUCCUCGAGCUAAUCAUGCAUGCCGCCGCCGCGGAUCGGGGACGGGCCGACGUGGGGGCAGAAGGCUCUGCGGUUGAAGCUUUUCUAAAAAACGACGGGGAACGACCAUGACAGGAGCUACAAGGAUGACGACCAGCGGCGAGGACGGGACGGCUUUGCGGCGCUGCGGGGUGCGGUUUGCGGUGCUGCGGUGAAGACGAGGCGGCUUGCAUCAGUGCGGGGCGGGGUGGGGCUGCGCUCGAAAAAAGAAAGAAAAAAUAAAAAAUCAACGCAGAUUGAACGAUAGGGUUGGCUGCAUCGGACGGCUAGGACACGACCGACGCAACUACUUGGACCGGCGCGCCGGCGCCUAGCACUGCGCUUUUGAUUAGCUCGGGAAAGAAACAAAAACCGAAUCCCAUAGUGAUAAGCAUGUCGUCCAUGUUUGCUACUUCACUGUUUGGCGUUUCAUGCAAGAAGCCCUCCGCAGGUUGGCCUCCACGUCCGCCUACUCGGUGCGUCGCUCCACGUAGAGGCUAUUCAUUUCACGGCCGGGAGCCGCUCGCGACGUGGGCACCGUCGCGGCCACCUCGUCAAGGGUUGGCUCUCGCGGAGCACGGCCUAUAAAUUGUGCCCGCUCGCUCUGAACAAUACACCAGUAAACACAAUACAACAAGCAGCAAGUAGCAAUCAUCUAGCUGCAGCAUCUGUAGUUUCCUUCUCUUCUUCGUCCACCUUCCGCGGCUAGCUGAUUAAUGGCAACCAUGAUGACCAUGAGCUCCGUUGCCGGUGCCGCCGUCCUGCCGCGUGGCUCGGCCGGCCAUUUUGGUGCCCAAUCUCUACCUGCGAUGGGCCGGCGCGCCCUUGUCGUCAGGGCACAAACCGAGGGCCCGAGUGCACCACCGCCAAACAAACCCAAGGUAUGCAUGCCAUAUAUAGGCAGCACGGCGCCGUAGCAAAACUGAGUCCAGUGGCAAAGUUUCUGAUAAUUGUUCCUGACACAGGCGAGCACCUCGAUCUGGGACGCGCUGGCAUUCGCCGGCCCCGCACCCGAGCGCAUCAACGGGCGCCUCGCCAUGGUGGGCUUCGUGACGGCGUUGGCGGUGGAGGCAGGCCGCGGCGACGGACUCCUCUCGCAGCUUGGCAGCGGCACCGGGCAGGCGUGGUUCGCCUACUCCGUGGCGGUGCUGUCCGUGGCGUCGCUGGUGCCGUUGCUCCAGGGCGAGAGCGCCGAGGGCAGAGCCGGCACCAUCAUGAACGCCAACGCGGAGCUCUGGAACGGCCGCUUCGCCAUGCUCGGACUUGUUGCUCUGGCGGCCACGGAGAUCAUCACUGGCGCGCCCUUCAUCAACGUGUAGAAUAAACUAGCUCUGUCUUCGGCCUAGGACAUGUAAAUGAUGAGAAUUGAUCAUCCUCAUAUUCUUUGUAGUUCUUAUACUAAUUCGACAAAGACAGCUCAUACUACCAGGGCGAAGCUGCUUUGUUUCUCAUUUAAUAAGAUCUUCCUUUUAUGAAUUUUUUUGGCAGUACCCAGUCUACUUGGCCAAGGGACAUUUCAAGUUGGCAAAGUCUCUACCGAGUGUCGCACUCGGUACACUUCACACAAAGCAGGGUUCUAAUUGUUAAGUAAUAGAUUAGUUGCUUAUUAAUUAAGCUAAUUAGGAUUAAGUUAAUUCUUACCCCUCCAUUCCUAUUUUUUUUAAAGAUUUCAUUAAAUGACUACACACGAAAUAAAAUAAAUGAAUAUGCACUCUAAAGUAUAUCUAUAUACAUCUGUAUGUAGUCUUCUAGUAAAAGCUCUUAAAAAGCUUAUAAUAUUUAAGAACGGAGGGAGUAAAUAGGUUACUUAGUCCUCAAGCAACCAUGCACUUCCUUGACAGCCAAGGAAACUAUGUAAUAACUUGGCCCUUAAAUAACUUCAAGUCACUUAACUUCCAAGCAACAUGUAUAAUUCCGACCGGAUAUUAAUACCCCAUUGCUACCGUUAAUAGAAUCUAAUGAAUCAUCUUUCAUUCAUCACUUUAUCAUCACUUUCGCUCUACCUUGAGAGAAAAAGACCAUUCAAGACGACGGAACAUCGGCAGCGUUUUCUUCAGAAUCGAGCACAUCGUAGUCACGAUGGAUGGAUACAGAUCGAUCCAUGGCUUCUGGCCGAUCUUACUGCUCCAUCCGUCAACGGGAACGUCCUUACAUCAGCGGCGAGGAACUCGGCUAGCGCAAGACACGGCUGCUCAAUGCGGCCCGCUCCCGACCUCAGCAUCAUUCCAUCGCUGAAAGAUUCCACUAGGGCGUCCACGCAAAGACGACCAUACAUUAAGGACAUUAAGAACACAUUUUUUUCUGCCUCAUUUUCAACCACGAGCGAACCACCAUCAAUCGAUCCUAGAUCCCCCGAUCCACUCCGCCGUCGCAGCUCGGUUGCCCACCUCUCCCGCCCGCUCUCAUGGCGGCCAGAUCUGGGAGCCCGGAGUCCGUCUCGUCUGGACCAUUCCGGAAACCCUCGUGAUGUCCGUGAUCUCAUACGGGACACCGAAAAACAUUCGGUAACCAACCAUAUAGCUCAAAUAUGCAUAAAACAACGCCGAACCUUAAGUGUGCACACCCUACGGGUUCGAGAACUAUGUAGACACGACCCAAGGGACUUCUCGGUCAAUAUCCAAUAGCGGGACCUCAAUGCCCAUAUUGGAUCCUACAUAUUCUACGAAGAUCUUAUCGAUCGAACCUCAGUGCCAAGGAUUCAUAUAAUCCCGUAUGUCAUUCCCUUUGUCCUUCGGUAUGUUACUUGCCCGAGAUUCGAUCGUCGGCAUCCGCAUACCUAUUUCAAUCUCGUUUACCGGCAAGUCUCUUUAUUCGUUCCGUAAUAAAAGAUCCCGUGACUUACACUAAGUCACAUUGCUUGCAAGCCUUGUGUAUGAUGUUGUAUUACCGAGUGGGCCCUGAGAUACCUUUCCGUCACACGGAGUGACAAAUCCCAGUCUUGAUCCAUACUAACUCAACGGACACCUUUGGAGAUACCUGUAGAGCACCUUUAUAGUCACCCAGUUACGUUGUGACGUUUGGUACACACAAGGCAUUCCUCCGGUGCCAGUGAGUUAUAUGAUCUCAUGGUCAUAGAAAUAAAUACUUGACACGCAGAAAAACAGUAGCAACAAAAUGACACGAUCAACAUGCUACGUUCAUUAGUUUGGGUCUAGUCCAUCACAUGAUUCUCCCAAUGAUGUGAUCCCGUUAUCAAGUGACAACACUUGCCUAUGGUCAGGAAACCUUGACCAUCUUUGAUCAACGAGCUAGUCAACUAGAGGCUUACUAGGGACAGUAUUUUGUCUAUGUAUCCACACAAGUAUUGUGUUUCCAAUCAAUACAAUUAUAGCAUGGAUAAUAAACGAUUAUCAUGAACAAAGAAAUAUAAUAAUAAUUAAUUUAUUAUUGCAUCUAGAGCAUAUUUCCAACAGUUAGUUGUAGACUUUGGGAUUCUCUAGCAUGCUGUGAAUUUUCAUGCUAUUUGGAGUCCUGUAGCUAUUGGUUUUGCUGCUGUCAAUAUGCCUUCAGGCCGAAAACUGCAGUUUCAUAAACUGUUAUUUUCACUAAGUCUAAAACUAUGUGUGAGAAGCCAUUUUGUGACUUCUUUUCCUAGUGAUCCAUGAUGCCAUGCUAAUUGUUGUUAGUUGUAUGUUGUAGUGCUUCUUGCCCUCUAUUGUCUCAUGCCUUGCUUGAGCAUAUUAGGUUUGUGUAGAUCGUAGUUGUGGGGUGUAGAAAAUGCUAUGUGGCUGUUUUUGGCAGAUUGUAGUGAUAUCUUGUUUAGCUCGUAGUUUUGAACCGUUGCUCCGUUUGGAUCGUGUCCUAUAUGAAACUUGCUUAGAAUCUCGUGUAGUUUCAUUUUACCUUGCUGGUUGUGUGUUUUGAAGUGCUCGUGACCGUCGUUGUACACAUUUUGCAUUUAUGCCAUCAUAUCUUGCGGUGUCCGUAUCUUUUGAACCGUAGCUCCGUUGGAGAUGUUCUCUAUGUGUAGAUUGCUUGUAACGACGCGUAGAAUCACGUGAACCUAUUUGUUUUGCUGUUUAACAACUAAUUAAACGUGUUGGUUUAGAUCUGGACAGAAUUGUAAAUUAACAUAUGAGGUCGUUUCGGAGGUGCUAUAUGUCAUUUCCGACCUCAUUUAAAAUGCCUAGAUAGGUAGUUUAAUUGUGCAUCAACUCUUUUCAUGUGUAACCACAUUUAAUAUUUUCGUGUACCUAAUCGGGAUAGAACUAAAUAAAUAAACAUGGAGUUUCGUCAAUAUGCAACUCGUUGCAUAUUGAACUUCACUUAAUGUGUAGUGUUUGAUUGUGUGAUUUGUCAUGCCAUGUCUUGCAUAUAUUCUCCGUUCAUGCAUCAUAUGUGUUGUGCAUCGUGUGGCGAAUAUCGUGUGUUGAUGCUUGUUUCCGGUUUCCUCCGUCUCGAUGGAGUUUCGCAAGCGUGCCGGAAGUGAGGACCCGUUCGACUACAUCGGUUCGUCUGCUUCACGGAGUCAUUCUUCUUCCAAGCGGGAUCUCAGGCAAUAUGUUCAUUUCCCCAGAUACCAUUACUAUCAUUUCCAUGCUAGUUUUAUCGCUUCUACCGAUUAUGUCUCGUUGCCUACCACUUGUUAAAUAUCAGCCUGUCAACAAUGCCAUGAAAACCUUCAACCUGUUCAACCUAGCAAACCACUGAUUGGUUAUGUUACCGCUUGCUUAACCUUGUGUUAGCGUUGCUAGUUGCAGGUGCAUUGCUUCCAUGUGAAAACAUGGGUUCCUUGCUAUAUCACCCUAUUUAAUGCUAUUUAAUUUAAUGCACCUAUAUACUUGGUAAAAAGUGGAAGGCUCGGCCUUUCACCCUGGUGGUUUGUUCCACUUUUUCCCCCUUAGUUUCAGCUACCGGUGUUAUGUUCCAUAUUUGAGCGCUCCUAACACGAUCGGGGUUGUUAUGGGGACCCCCUUGAUAAUUCGUUUUAGAUUAAAGCUGGUCUGGCAAGGCCCAACAUUGGUACUACAUUUGCCCAACAUAAUUAUUUUGUUAAUACUGAAAGCAUAGGGCGUCAUAAAUCCGAGGAGUAAUUUUAUGUAAUACAGGGAGGGCCAGUGCUGACGGUGCUGGUCCAAAACAGAGCAUCGUGCGGGGCCAACCAGGGGCAACUCGGAAUAUUUCUAUCAGGCCACCGUACGCUUCCCUUAUCCAUCGUGUCCUGAGAACGAGAUAUGCGGCUCCUAACGGGAUCGUCGACACGUCGGGUGGCCUUGCUGGAUUAGUUUUACCUUUGACGAGAUAUCUUGUGCAUCGGGAUUCCGGGGAUGCUUUGGGUAAUCUCAGAGUUGAGGUUUUCCACUAAGGAGCCCGACGAGAUCGCGAGCUUCGUGAUCGAGGAUUUCUAUGCGGCUUCUGGUAAUUUGUGAUGGACUAGUUGGAGCAUCCCUGCGGGGUUAAAUCUUUUCGGAAAGCCGUGCCCGCGGUUAUGUGGCAACGUGAGAACUUUGUUUAACACUGGUUCUAGAUAACUUGAAGUUAACUUAAUUAAAAUGUGCCAACUUUGUGCGUAACCGUGACUGUCUCUUUCGUGAGUUCCUUCUCCGAUCGAGGACACGGUGGGGUUAUGUCUGACAUAGGUAGGUGUUCAGGAUCAUUCGUUUGAUCAACAAUAGUCACGUCCGCUAUGCGUAGAUCUUCCCCCUCUUAUUUCUUGUACUCGUAACUGUAGCCACCAAAUAUAUGCUUAGACGCUGCUGCAACCUCACCACUUAACCUCGCCUCACCUAUUAAGCUUUGCUAGACUUGAUACCUUUGGAAAUGAGAUUGCUGAGUCCCCUAUGGCUCACAGAUUACUACAACACGAGUUGCAGGUACAAGUAAAGGUUACUUGACGCGAGCGCGUUGAUUGUUCAUUUGGAGUUGCUUAUUCUUCUUCUUCUUCAUCGAUCUAGGAUGGGUUCCAGGCCGGCAGCCUGGGAUAGCAAGGAUGGACGUCGUUCUUCUUUUCUCGUUUGUUUUCAUCCGUAGUCGGACCCUGCUCUUCUUCAUGAUGAUUACGUAUUGUACUGCUGUGACUCUGAUGUAGCUUGUGGCGAGUGUAAACCAAUUAUAUAUAUAUAUAUAUAUCUCUUCUUUUCAGUACAUGUACUUGUAACGAUAUCCAUUCUUACGACACGACGAGAUGCACUUCUAUCCCUGACGAGGCUCUCGUGCCAAAUUGAGGAUAGGGUCGCAUCUUGAACGUGACACCCUAAUACCACUAUCAGGGCCGGGCCGACCAAAUUAGGGGCCCUGUGUUAAACUCUAAAAUAGGCCGACCAGAGGAAGAACAUCUAACGAAGAGACGCACUACAGCACAUGACCAAGCGUCUCCAAAUAACGUGGUUGUCAAUCAAAGGUGUUUUUUUGGUAGCAUGCAAAAAAACACAUCAAUGUUGUAUUUGAAAUAUUUUUCAAAAACGCUUCAAAUGAUCUUUUUUAUGAUGAUUUCAUCAAAAUACCUAAAAAACUGCAAUAUUAGAGCAAUCAGAAAAAAAUAUUUUUUAUACUUAGGAUUUUUUCAUUAUGCCGCAAAUAAUUAGAAAAUAGCUCGAACAGAAUGCCUGAUAUGAAGUUAAACAUCUCCAAACACCAGCAAAACGUGACGUCUUUAUAUACUCGUGAUAGUAUUUAUAUGGCUAUUCCGUCAGGUGUUUGAUAGUGCUGAUUAUUGAGAUGGUUGCUAUUCCUUUUCACUAGCACGAGGUCGGACCAUCAGCCGGGCGCACGUGUAAUCAGUGUUGCCGUAAUACGUGGUUGAUCCUUCUUUAGCCCUGAACAGUCAGGCCAGUUGCACUGAACUAGCCUAUGUGUCGUGCACUCAACUGAUAAACUGCUAUAAAAAAUUUGAGGCCCUAAAAAUAAGAGGUCCUGUGCGGCCGGCACUAUUGCACAUGUGGUUGGUCCAGCCCACUAUUGAGCCAUUAUAAAGAGAAAUAAUAAUUUUCAUAAUUUUUUGAAUAACUAUACUGGUAGUUUAGUACCACACAUAGGUCAGAUCAACGUAUGCAUGUGGCAUGGUAGUUGUGUGAGUACAACAAUUGCUCCUGAUUUCCUGCCUGCGAGGCUCCGAAGUGCUUUUGAUUAGCUCGGGCAAGAAACAAAAACCGAUCGAAUCCAUAGUGAUAAGCUUGUUGUCGAUGCUUUCCUACUUUUCUGUUUGGCGUUUCAUGCAAGAAGCCCUCCACGUCCGCCUACUCGCUGCGUUGCUCCACGUAGAGGCUAAUUCAUUUCACGGCCGGGAGCCGCUCGCGACGUGGGCACCGUCGCGGCCACCGCGGCCACCUCGUCAGGGGUUGGCUUUCGCGGAGCACGGCCUAUAAAUUGUGCACACGCGCUCUGAGUAAUACACCAGUAAACACUCGGCGACACACAAUACAACAAACAGCAAGUAGCAAUCAUCUAGUUGCAGCAUCUGUAGCUUCCUUUUCUUCUUCGUCUACCUUCCGCGGCUAGCUGAUUAAUAGCAACCAUGAUGACCACGAGCUCCUUCGCCGGUGCCGCCGUCCUGCCGCGUGGCUCGGCCGGUCACUUCGGUGUCCAGUCUAUGCCUGCGCUGGCCCGUCGCGCCCUCGUCGUCAGGGCACAAACCGAAGGCCCGAGCUCACCACAGCCAAGCAAACCCAAGGCGAGCACCUCGAUCUGGGACGCGCUGGCGUUCGCCGGCCCAGCGCCGGAGCGCAUCAACGGGCGCCUUGCCAUGGUAGGCUUCGUGACGGCGCUGGCGGUGGAGGCAGGGCGCGGCGAUGGGCUCCUCUCGCAGCUCGGCAGCGGCACCGGGCAGGCGUGGUUCGCCUACUCCGUGGCCGUGCUGUCCGUGGCGUCACUCGUGCCGCUGCUCCAGGGCGAGAGCGCCGAGGGCAGAGCCGGAGCAAUCAUGAACGCCAACGCGGAGCUCUGGAACGGCCGCUUCGCCAUGCUCGGUCUCGUCGCGCUCGCCGCCACCGAGAUCAUCACCGGCGCGCCAUUCAUCAACGUGUAAAACUAGCUCUGUCGUCGACCGGAUAACACAACGUGUACUUAGC
rnacentral:lncRNA from 1 species